UACGUAGGGUCCAAGCGUUAUCCGGAAUCACUGGGCGUAAAGCGUGCGUAGGUGGGUGUUUAAGUGAGAGGUUAAAUCGUGUGGCUCAACCAUAUCGAUGCUUUUUCAUACUGGGCACCUAGAGGACAGCAGAGGCAAGUGGAAUUGGUAGUGUAGCAGUGAAAUGCGUAGAUAUUACCAGGAACACCAAUGGCGAAGGCAGCUUGCUGGGCUACUCCUGACACUGAGGUACGAAAGCGUGGGGAGCGAACAGG
rnacentral:rRNA from 1 species